AUUGAACGCUGGCGGCAGGCUUUACACAUGCAAGUCGAGCGAGCGGCGGACGGGUGAGUAAUGUCUGGGAAACUGCCCGAUGGCGGGGGAUAACUACUGGAAACGGUAGCUAAUACCGCAUACCAUCAAAUGUGCCCAUAUCGGAUUAGCUAGUAGGUGGGGUAAAGGCUCACCUAGGCGACGAUCCCUAGCUGGUCUGAGAGGAUGACCAGCCACACUGGGACUGAGACACGGUCCAGACUCCUACGGGAGGCAGCAGUGGGGAAUAUUGGACAAUGGGGGAAACCCUGAUGCAGCCAUGCCGCGUGUAUGAAGAAGGCCUUCGGGUUGUAAAGUACUUUCAGCGGGGAAGCGUUACUCGCAGAAGAAGCACCGGCUAACUCCGUGCCAGCAGCCGCGGUAAUUC
rnacentral:rRNA from 1 species